GAGGAGGAGGAGGAGGAAGCAGGGGAAGUAAAAGAAGAAGAAGUUAGGUGGAGGCGCGUAGUUGUAGCUUAGAUAUGUAGGGUGCUGGAGUACGUCAGUAAAGUGUUAAUAUGAUCGCUGACGUUUUACCUACAAGCGUUUGCACUUUUUGCGCAUGUUAAAUACAUCCAGUCAGUAUGGCUAGCUAGCUAGCAGGCUAACACCUCUGUUUGUAACGUUACUUUAAAAAGAGGUUUCGUUAACUAACUUUAGGUCAACGUAUAUUAUCUACACGUGGGGCUGCUUGUACGUGAAUUAGGUCAUCUGGAGAAAAGGGUUCCAGUGGAAUGAGCCUUGUGGACCUCAUAUACAUGGUUGACCAGCUGGAGUGAAUGCAGAGCCUGUCUCUUGGCACAUCUACCAUAAGUAUUUGACUUGUUUGUCUUUUGUUUUUAUUUUAAUGUAUUAAUUUUCCAAAUAAAUACCAAAAUUGUGAAGAAAAGUUGCUGUGUUUUUGGUUUUUGGAUGGUGGGAUAUCUGUUGGGGAGUUAGGUUUACCAACCUGUUUGGAUAUUUUGUACAUUCAUCACCUGACUUUCCCACAUUGCAGACUUCAACAAGUGCAGAGGAAGCUGAUAUUUAUUUAAGUUGGGCAGUAGUGUUGGAAAAUAACUAUUGAAUUUAUUCAAGUACUGUACUUGAGUACAUUAUUGAGGUAAUUGUACUUUAUUUACUUUUACUACUGGCUACUUAAAAGUAUAUAUUGAUGGUCAUCAACUUUUACUGAAGGAAAAUUUUAAAUGUGUGAUUUUUGUCUUGUAACAUUAUUUCCACACUGGUACUUUUACUUAAAUAAAACAUCUGAAUACUUUUUCCACUGGUGAUUUAGAAUAUUUGCAUUUGUUUAUGAAAUAUUUCACCAUAAAAUUAU